GAUGAACGCUGGCGGCGUGCCUAAUACAUGCAAGUCGAGCGAACAGAUGAGGAGCUUGCUCCUCUGACGUUAGCGGCGGACGGGUGAGUAACACGUGGAUAACCUACCUAUAAGACUGGGAUAACUUCGGGAAACCGGAGCUAAUACCGGAUAAUAUAUUGAACCGCAUGGUUCAAUAGUGAAAGACGGUUUUGCUGUCACUUAUAGAUGGAUCCGCGCCGCAUUAGCUAGUUGGUAAGGUAACGGCUUACCAAGGCAACGAUGCGUAGCCGACCUGAGAGGGUGAUCGGCCACCCUGGAACUGAGACACGGUCCAGACUCCUACGGGAGGCAGCAGUAGGGAAUCUUCCGCGAUGGGCGAAAGCCUGACGGAGCAACGCCGCGUGAGUGAUGAAGGUCUUCGGAUCGUAAAACUCUGUUAUUAGGGAAGAACAAAUGUGUAAGUAACUAUGCACGUCUUGACGGUACCUAAUCAGAAAGCCACGGCUAACUACGUG
rnacentral:rRNA from 1 species